GGGGGGGGGGCAAGCGUUAUUCGGGAAUUACUGGGGCGUAAAGGGGCUCGUAGGCGGCCAACUAAGUCACACGUGAAAUCCCUCGGGCUCAACCGGGGGAACUGCGUGUGAUACUGGAUGGCUCGAGUUCGGGAGAGGGAUGCGGAAUUCCAGGUGUAGCGGUGAAAUGCGUAGAUAUCUGGAGGAACACCGGUGGCGAAGGCGGCAUCCUGGACCGAGACUGACGCUGAGUGAGCGAAAGCCAGGGGAGCAAACGGGAUUAGAUACCCCGGUAGUCCUGGCCCUAAACGAUGAAUGCUUGGUGUGGCGGGUAUCGAUCCCUGCCGUGCCGAAGCUAACGCAUUAAGCAUUCCGCCUGGGGAGUACGGUCGCAAGGCUG
rnacentral:rRNA from 1 species